UAGAUACCCUGGUAGUCCUGGCCGUAAACGAUGGGCACUGGGUAGGGGGCUCGCCGAUGGGCUCCCUGCCGUAGGGAAACCGUGAAGUGCCCCGCCUGGGGAGUAUGGUCGCAAGGCUGAAACUCAAAGGAAUUGACGGGGGCUCACACAAGCGGUGGAGUAUGUGGCUUAAUUCGAGGCUACGCGCAAAACCUUAUCCCAGGCUUGACAUGCACGGAUUAGCCGGCGGAAACGUCGGUGAGGCCGCAAG
rnacentral:rRNA from 1 species